GAUAAACGCUGGCGGCGUGCCUAAAACAUGCAAGUCGAACGGUUCAGAGCUUUCGGGUUCUGGAUAGUGGCGGACGGCUGAGUAACACGUGGGUGACCUACCUUCGAACGGGGGAUAACUGCCCGAAAGGGUGGCUAAUACCGCAGACAUCAUGGGUUCGUCCUCAUGAUUGAACCGAUUCAGGGUUCGGAGAGGGGCCCGCGGCCGAUUAGCUAGCUGGUGGGGUAACGGCCUACCAGGGCANCGAUCGGUAGCUGGUCUGAGAGGAUGAUCAGCCAGACUGGGACUGCGAACGGCCCAGACUCCUACGGGAGGCAGCAGUUAGGAAUUUUGGGCAAUGGGCGAAAGCCUGACCCAGCAACGCCGCGUGGGUGAUGAAGGCCCUCGGGUCGUAAA
rnacentral:rRNA from 1 species